CUCCUCAUCCCUCUGUACCUGCCUUUGUGGUUCCCUCCUGCAUGUCCUGCACUUAUCUUAACCUUGUGCCUGUGUGUUGAUUGGUUGCUUGGCCGGUUUUCUGGUGCUUUUAGUGCAUCUGAUUGUUCGAAGGUCUUAAUGGUGGAUGGUGUAGAUCCGUAAAUAUUUAGGCAUUGACAGAUUUAUUGUUCUUUCAGCUGUGCACUGCAGCAUAUUGAACACAAAUGCUAAUUAUAACCUCAAAGUGUAGACUUUCACCUGUAAC